GUUCAACGGGAAGCUACGCCGAGUUGAUCCGCCAGCGACUAUCCAAAGCGACAACGUCAAAAACUCGACAUGCUGAAACUUCGACGAUUGAUGGACCAUCGCCGGCCUCGUCGAGUACACUUUUCGGACCAGCCUCGGGAGUAGGUCUGCUCUCCGGUGGCAGUUUCGCAGCUCAAUUCUUUUCUCCCACCAAGUGGUUUUCCGCCGGCUGGCUUGUUUCGGCGAGUACACUACACGACCAACAGGUCCAUCCCUAGCGCGGCACAAUCUUGCUCUUUACGUGGCGCCGAAAUGAAAAUGAAUCCGACUCGCGAAAAGAGGCCACCCGUGAAGUGGAAACAAGCUUCAUCACAUCCUAUUCUUCCCGAUGGUCAGCGCCAACACCAGGGGCAAUCCCGGCCGCUAGACGCCACCGACUUCGGGUUGCCAGUCAUGUCAAUGGGCGGGAACCCCCGACAUCGUGCCCGUGCCCGAGUCCACAUCACGGAAACACCGCCCGACCAGUAAAGGUAUCAAGAGAUCAACCAGUAUCUCGACUGUACCCACACAUCCGCCUCUCCCAUCAACCCCGCCAAGCGACGAUUCGGGGCUAAACGGCACCUAAACCCCAUCUCCGAGCGGCCAACGCGGGUUUCCGGUGCUGCUGCGAGCACUUGCAGCCUGUCUGCAUUGCAAGUGAAGCUUCCGCGUUCAACAUACGGUGCGACCUUAUCUCGCAUGUGGGCGCUAUAUACGGGCCGACAUACCCUUGGCGCUGGACUUCACUGGUACUGUAGCUGCCAGCUUGUCGCAUCCAAGACGGACACCCAUCUCCGCUCCCAGUUCGUACUUACCCACCAUUCGUCUAUCUUUUGCUUGGUUUAUGUUUGAGGCCAGCGUACUGUGACUGAUUGACCAGCCUCCACACGAAUGUGGGCGUCGGCGAUCUCGAAAACCACCGAGGUGCACAGUUGCCGGUGUAUGGUUUGUACGAGACUUUGUGAAUUACUUCACAGCAGCUUGCCAACUGCCUUUUGAGCCUGAUGAUGCGGCCAAGCUAACCUGGAUGAUGCGGCCAAGCUAACUUGCAAGCUGUCCGCCUCAUUUUCCGAUCUGUCUGUCUCUUUCACUGAUUGAUCGUCAUCAACGGCAAGAGCAGCACAACAAGUGUCUUCAGCGCACUUUCCCAUCUCAUCCCAGAUCACGCUUUCCAUUGAGUCCAGUGGCCAGGAGCAGGUCUCUGUCGAAAUACUGGACAUGUUCCUUCCCUUGAAAACGGAAUGGCAAGCUGGACUUUUGGGGAGAGCAGGGUUGCGGACGGAAGCAUAUACCACUAGCCAUAUCGCGAUUGUUGACGAGCGGAACAGGAGUCACUUUCCAGAUUUACCGGACGACGAAGAAGACGUCCAUGUCACGUACGAAUUAUGUACAAUUGAAGAUUUGCCAAGAAUCGAAUACAGAAUCGUUACUUCCC